rnacentral:rRNA from 1 species
AGUGAACGCUGGCGGAAUGCUUUACACAUGCAAGUCGAACGGCAGCAUAGGUGCUUGCACCUGAUGGCGAGUGGCGAACGGGUGAGUAAUACAUCGGAACGUGCCCAGGCGUGGGGGAUAACGUAGCGAAAGUUACGCUAAUACCGCAUACGAUCUAAGGAUGAAAGCGGGGGACCGUAAGGCCUCGCGCGAUUGGAGCGGCCGAUGUCAGAUUAGGUAGUUGGUGAGGUAAAGGCUCACCAAGCCGACGAUCUGUAGCUGGUCUGAGAGGACGACCAGCCACACUGGGACUGAGACACGGCCCAGACUCCUACGGGAGGCAGCAGUGGGGAAUUUUGGACAAUGGACGCAAGUCUGAUCCAGCCAUUCCGCGUGCAGGACGAAGGCCUUCGGGUUGUAAACUGCUUUUGUACGGAACGAAAAAGCUCUUACUAAUACUAGGAGUCCAUGACGGUACCGUAAGAAUAAGCACCGGCUAACUACGUGCCAGCAGCCGCGGUAA